ensembl:lncRNA
GAAAAAAUGCGAGCACAAGACAGAAGUCUCCAGGAGCUGGCUGCAGGCUCAUGAAAGAAGUGGAGAUCACGCGCGAGGAAAGAUGUUUCCUGCUGUCGCGCUCUUAUGGGUGUUUGUUCAGCUUUGCAGUGCGCGUGACAUGAUGUGCACCGUCACUCACGCUGGCAAAAAGACUACAUACAACAUCUCAGACCUGUCCCCUGAUAUACGAAACGAGGCUUCCCGCUGCAUGUUUAUGUGGUCCAAUGCAACCGAUUUUGUGAUCGCACACCACGGGGGCCUGUUCCUGCAGCCCGUGAUGAGCAGCAGCUUUGGCACACUAAUCACCUCCAAAUGCAUCGGCAACGUUAGCUUCACAGCCGCUUGCGUGAUAAAGCAAAGAGCAUAUGAUUACACAGCCAGCUGCACCCCCGUCUGCCCUCCACAAGCUCUGAUUGAUGACACAGGAAUGCCUCCUUCCCAGAUCGGUGUCAUUGUAGUAGAUUUCAUUGUCCUGCUGGUGCUCGGCCUCGUGUGCUUCCUGUGCUACAAAUAUAGACUUUGGAGUAAAUGCUGUGGCCAGACUGGAGGCAUCUACCCUCGUGUGAUGUUUAAGAAGGCUCCGCAAGCAAAAGCUGAUGUGGAGACAGGAGGAGGAUAGAGCAGCUUCUCGGUGCACGAUAAAUCUAUAGCCAUGCUUUCUCCGUCCUUUCCCCUGCAUUACUUAAGUAGCAGUAUGCUUGCAUUAAUAUAUCAUCUCUGCGGGUUUGCUUUUCUAUAUUUUGCCGGGCGGCUUUUUGGGACAAGACAGUUACAGCAUGAAAUCCAUGUUACAGGAUAUUAGAGGCUUGAUGUGCCAAACUCUAAUGUAAGAGUUCCUCCUUUUGAGGAGUUUGAGGCUCUUCUGUGGCCUCAUCAAUGCUAAAAAACGCUGUGACUGAUGAAAGGUCAUUGAUUUCUUCCCACACAGACAAACCUCAGCUCAGUGUUAGAAACUGUAUCCUGUUACAGCGUUGAUCCCAGUGUUGAUUGUAAUUCCACUAGCUGUGAGCGAUUGGUGCACAGGUGAAAAGUUCUCUGGGAAAUUGUUAAUGGACUGAUUCUUAUAUAGCGCCUUUCUACUCUCCUGGAGUACUCAAAGCGCUAUGAGCUGUGGAAGCUCUCAGACUCUUUGCUGCAAUAAUGCUAAUAAUAUAAUAUAAUAUAAUAUAAUAUAAUAUAAUAUAAUAUAAUAUAAUAUAAUAUAAUAUAAUAUAAUAUAAUAUAAUAUAAUAUAAUAUAAUAACAAUGAUCCCCCCUACUUCCAGCCAGGUCCCCCAUGUUAGGGUUAAUGAUGUAAACCAGCUGUGGAAGCUCGGAGACUCGUAAUGCAGCACCAGGGCGUGCACUUUCAGUGUCCUAUAGCAUUACAGCACAUAGUACAUAUACAGAGCAUACAACACUAUAAAUAGCUUAUUAUCUAAAUGCUGCAAAUAUUUUUCUAAUGUGGAUGUUUCUUUAUUUUUGCUUACUUAUUUGUACUGUUUUCUUAUUAUAUAACGUAUAUGUCAUUAAUUUAAAGGAUUCCUCCUGUAAUGUGUACUCUGUACCUGCAUGGCCAGUCACUGUGAGUGUUUUUGUCCCAGAUUAUCCUUCUUGCUCUGUUUUUUUGCUUUAUGUUCCCCUAUUAUGCUGAAAAUGGAUUAAAAACUGCUGAUUAAAAACCUGAGUUGAUUUUGUUUCUUUGCUUUGUUUCUUUUUUUUUUUUAACAUCAUAUCUGGUGACACCUUAGCAUCCAGUGAAGGCUGGCGGAGGUGGGCAGCUGAGGUGGCGUGAGCAGCAGGUCCUUUGUGUUAUAGCAGUCUGGAGGAGCUCAGGCACUAACUCCACUGUAACCCGACACUGCUCUUGUGCCUCUGCAGACAUUCAAAUACAAAGGUUGAGUCUUGUUCUCUGACUUUAUUUGUUACUGACUGGGUGUAAAAAAGGUAAAUAAACUGUACUUAGGUAAUCCAUACUGCAUGCUUUACAGAUUUACAAAUUAUCCCGGGGCUCAAGCAUUAUUUAAACUAGUCAGUCACAACAUUAAAAUCAAUAUAGUUACCAGAUUAUUACCUCUGGAAGUGUCAUGUGAAGUCUGCCAUCAGCACUGACAGGAUAAAGGACAAACUCUGGAUUCACAUUGUGUGAAACAUCAAAGGGGUUGUGCUUCUUUUUAUCUGCCCCAGAGGCUCAAAAAUCAUCAUGACUUUCACAGUGUUUUUAUUUUUCCACUUCUUUUCCACUUCCCUAUGUGUUCACUUCCUUUACAUUUUCCAGCUAACAUCUCUUUGGGAAGCAACCUGUUGGUGCAAAAAUGUAAUUUUACACCAGUCCAAGUUUAAAUUGGGUUCUUUGCUCAAAUGUUUGUUAUGUAUAGACGCAUCGCUAGGUCAGUGUCAAGAUGCUUAAUAAG